rnacentral:rRNA from 1 species
UACGUAGGAGGCAAGCGUUGUCCGGAAUUACUGGGUGUAAAGCGCGUGUAGGCGGCAGGCCAAGUCUGUGGUGAAAUCGCUCGGCUCAACUGGGCGGGGUCCAUGGAAACUGGUCAGCUGGAGGACGGUAGAGGUGAGUGGAAUUCCCGGUGUAGUGGUGAAAUGCGUAGAGAUCGGGAGGAACACCCGUGGCGAAGGCGGCUCACUGGGCCGGUCCUGACGCUAAGGCGCGAAGGCGUGGGGAGCGAACGGG